UGCAAAAACUCGGGUAAGGUCUGCAG
rnacentral:piRNA from 1 species